GACGAACGCUGGCGGCGUGCCUAAUACAUGCAAGUCGAACGCUUCUUUCCUCCCGAGUGCUUGCACUCAAUUGGAAAGAGGAGUGGCGGACGGGUGAGUAACACGUGGGUAACCUACCCAUCAGAGGGGGAUAACACUUGGAAACAGGUGCUAAUACCGCAUAACAGUUUAUGCCGCAUGGCAUAAGAGUGAAAGGCGCUUUCGGGUGUCGCUGAUGGAUGGACCCGCGGUGCAUUAGCUAGUUGGUGAGGUAACGGCUCACCAAGGCCACGAUGCAUAGCCGACCUGAGAGGGUGAGCGGCCACACUGGGACUGAGACACGGCCCAGACUCCUACGGGAGGCAGCAGUAGGGAAUCUUCGGCAAUGGACGAAAGUCUGACCGAGCAACGCCGCGUGAGUGAAGAAGGUUUUCGGAUCGUAAAACUCUGUUGUUAGAGAAGAACAAGGACGUUAGUAACUGAACGUCCCCUGACGGUAUCUAACCAGAAAGCCACGGCUAACUACGUG
rnacentral:rRNA from 1 species